rnacentral:rRNA from 1 species
GGCGGCGUGCUUAACACAUGCAAGUCGUGGGAGAACGGGAACCUUCGGGUUCCUCAGUAAACCGGCGCACGGGUGAGUAACACGUAGGUAACCUACCUCGAAGUCUGGGAUAACCUGUCGAAAGACAGGCUAAUACCGGGUAUGACCACGGAAGUUUCGGCUUCUGGGGUGAAAGAUGGCCUCUUCCUGAAAGCCAUCGCUCCGAGAUGGGCCUGCGCGUCAUUAGCUUGUUGGUGGGGUAAUGGCCUACCAAGGCGACGAUGACUAGCUGGUCUGAGAGGAUGAUCAGCCACACUGGGACUGAGACACGGCCCAGACUCCUACGGGAGGCAGCAGUGGGGAAUAUUGCGCAAUGGGGGAAACCCUGACGCAGCGACGCCGCGUGAGUGAUGAAGGCCCUCGGGUCGUAAAGCUCUGUCGGAAGGGAAGAAUGUUUGUCGGUCGAAUAGGCCGAUAGGCUGACGGUACCUUCAAAGGAAGCACCGGCUAACUCCGUGCCAGCAGCC